rnacentral:rRNA from 1 species
GAUGAACGCUGGCGGCGUGCUUAACACAUGCAAGUCGAGCGAAGCGAUUUUAAGGAAGCCUUCGGGUGGAAUUAAAAUUGACUUAGCGGCGGACGGGUGAGUAACGCGUGGGUAACCUGCCUCAUACAGGGGGAUAACAGUUAGAAAUGACUGCUAAUACCGCAUAAGCGCACAGUGCUGCAUAGCACAGUGUGAAAAACUCCGGUGGUAUGAGAUGGACCCGCGUCUGAUUAGGUAGUUGGUGAGGUAACGGCCCACCAAGCCGACGAUCAGUAGCGGACGUGAGAGGGUGACCGGCCACAUUGGGACUGGGACACGGCCCAAACUCCUACGGGAGGCAGCAGUGGGGAAUAUUGGACAAUGGGGGAAACCCUGAUCCAGCGACGCCGCGUGACUGAAGAAGUAUUUCGGUAUGUAAAGGUCUAUCAGCAGGGAAGAAAAUGACGGUACCUGACUAAGAAGCCCCGGCUAACUACGUGCCAGCCGCCGCCGUAA